GCAGGUAAACAUGUCGACUGGAGAAGGUGGAGUAGUUCUCACACCACUGUGCCAAGGCUUCCUGAAGAAAAGAAAAGACAAAAUGAGGCUGAGGUGGGUGACCUACUGGUUCAAACUUCACAACACAACCCUGUUCUUCUACACCAAGAAAAAUGGAUCUACUUUGGAUCUUAGAGGAAAGUAUUACCUGUUUGAGGUUGAAUCCGUGCAGGAGGUGAUGCGGACUGAGAACAAGCGCUACCUUUUUGAACUCACGAUGAAAAACGGGAAGAGGAAAGUUCUGGCUGCAGACACAGCAGAUCUCAGACAAGAGUGGAUUUGCCAGCUUCUGAAAGCCAUGAACCAUUCCAGCCUUCACACCACUCAGCUGACCUCUGACAGGUUUCGUGAGAGUUUUUCAGAUCAUGAACAGAGAGCUGAUUCCAACCCGUGCAGCAGCAGAAGCAGCUUCAGCUCAACCUCAGAGAGCAGCAGUUUCAGAAGGCCUAACUCCAACAUGUCUGACUAUCUGUGGUCCAGCAGCACCAGCUCUCAGACUGCUUCCCAUCACACUCCCCAGCGCUUUUCCACUUCUCAGGAUAUGACCAGCCUCGGGAUCAGUCAGCAUCCAGAGGAUGAAGUGGAGCAUAAGAUGGAGGAGAUUAAACUGGAGAGUGAUUAUGACGUCCUGCCUGCUCCAAAAUCACUGAAUUAUGAAGAAGCCAUUUAUGAUACGCCUCCAUCCAACCGGCGAGCCAGCGGCAGAAAUCACGAAAUGACUGAAAGCAUCUAUGAUGUCCCGAAGUCCAUAUUUAUGAGAGCAGGUGAGUGAAAAUCUAAGUGUGCAAGUACCGUAUGAUAUAGUAUCUUGCAUGGUUGUUAAUGUGGUGUGUUUGUCCCUACAGAUGGUGAUGAGAGGCCUGCCAGUGGAGGGCUGCUUAUAGAUAUGAUGGCCUGUCUUGGGGAGAGACUCAGUGAUCUGGGGCAGAGCAGCUAGCUGCACCAAGAGUCAGCUGUUAACUCUAGAGCAUCAUCUGGACAUAUCCGGUUACAAUACUAACCAGCAAGACUUUGUUUGUGAAUAUUAUUUUUCUUUACAGUAUUAUUUGUAACAUUUUAUAAUAAGGAUCACAAAUAACAGAACCUACAACAGUAAUAAACAUUGUUAAAUGGUUACUCA
rnacentral:lncRNA from 1 species